rnacentral:rRNA from 1 species
UACGGAGGGGGCUAGCGUUGUUCGGAAUUACGUGGGCGUAAAGCGCACGUAGGCGGCUUUGCAAGUUAGAGGUGAAAGCCCGGGGCUCAACUCCGGAAUUGCCUUAAAACUGCAUCGCUAGAAUUGUGGAGAGGUAAGUGGAAUUCCGAGUGUAGAGGUGAAAUUCGUAGAUAUUCGGAAGAACACCAGUGGCGAAGGCGACUUACUGGACACAUAUUGACGCUGAGGUGCGAAAGCGUGGGGAGCAAACAGGG